rnacentral:rRNA from 1 species
GACGAACGCUGGCGGCGUGCCUAAUACAUGCAAGUCGAACGCUUCUUUCCUCCCGAGUGCUUGCACUCCAUUGGAAAGAGGAGUGGCGGACGGGUGAGUAACACGUGGGUAACCUACCCAUCAGAGGGGGAUAACACUUGGAAACAGGUGCUAAUACCGCAUAACAGUUUAUGCCGCAUGGCAUAAGAGUGAAAGGCGCUUUCGGGUGUCGCUGAUGGAUGGACCCUCGGUGCAUUGGCUAGUUGGUGAGGUAACGGGUCACCAAGGCCACGAUGGAUAGCCCACGUGAGAGGGUGAUCGGCGACACUGGGACUUGGGCACGGCCCAUAGUCCUGCGGGAGGGAGCAGUAGGGAAUCUUCGGCAAUGGACGGAAGUCUGACCGAGCAACGGCGCGUGAGUGAAGAAGGUUUUCGGAUCGUAAAACUCUGUUGUUAGAGAAGAACAAGGACGGUAGUAACUGAACGUCCCCUGACGGUAUCUAACCAGAAAGCCACGGCUAACUACGUG